AAACUUAUAGAAAUUGGAGCCAAAAGAGAAGUAUGCUCAGAGAUACGUUACCUGUUUUGGUUGGUGGAAAACAAGCAAGCUCCUUUGCCUGACAAGGUUUCUGUGGUGUGCAAUGGCAUGGAAGGGUCAUAUAUUCCAAAACUUCAUCUAAUUGUGUGCAAGUGUGGCUCGUGUGGUUCAAAGAUGCAGACACCUAGUGAAUGGGAACGAU